AUGGCGCUGCUCAGCGCCGGCGCGGCCACGGCGGUGUGGGCGUGCUUCGCCAUGCCGCUGCCCCCUCCACCCCAGCUUCACCGGCGACCUCCCUCCCUUCAUUCCUCGAGGGCGCCCGAAACCAUAGCCCCUCGCGGACGGGGCGACAAAGAUGGCCAAGGAUCCCUCCUCCGCCCGUGUUCCAGCAAAGACGGCGCCGGAUCCGCAGCCAACUGCGGCGGCUGCUGCACUAGCAACAGGAGACGGCUCAUGGAGGGUCCUAGCCGGCCGCAUUCUCCACCCCUUCUCUUGUACAUGCGGGAUCUCGCUGCUGCUGCCACCGCCGCCGCGGUGGCCCUUGACGACGGCGAGCUAGGAGGCGUGCUGGAUGCCCAGAUGCAGAUCCCAUCUCUUCUUGUUCUGUGCCGGGCAGACCGCGACCACGGCAAGGGGAAGGAGGCAGGACGGGCUGGACGACAAGGUGGAGAACCCGGACACGGAGGGGCGCCAGAUCUUGCCUCGGGGUCUCCUGAUCUAGCCAUACUGUCGCCGGAUCUCCCCCCUCUCCCUCUCUCUGUGUUUUUCUGUCAGUAG
rnacentral:rRNA from 1 species